rnacentral:lncRNA from 1 species
AAAAUGUUAAAUAGGUUAAAAAAUAAUAAUUUCGCACGCACAUAAAUAGUCGUGAGUUAUGGAAUCUGAAGUUGGAAGGUUCACUAUCUUAUCUGGAAUGGAUAUUUACUUUUUAUACGACAAAACGGAUAAUUCGUUAGAGUUGAGCGACAUGUCGGAUUAUUAAUAGCUGUCAAACGACCGUUUAUUCGUUUUAAUUCUUUUUGGUAAGCCGGCGUUGAGAAACUUGCCGUUAUUAAUUUUAAAAAAUUGUUGGGUUUAUUAAUGACUUAACAUUAUUGCUAUUUUGAAAGACUGUUGGAUUUUAAAAAACCGUUUAUACAUCCGUUAUUAAUUUUGACAAGUCGCUCAAAGUUUAUCCAUUUUGAUAUAAAAAUAAUAAGGAAAAUCGAUUAUUUAUCAAAAACCAAAAAAAGUGUACUAAUAAAGGUAAUUAUGUUCUCGUUUCAAUAAUUGAAAUAACAAUUGUCUGAAGUUUAUCAAGCUUUUUUUAAAAAAAUUCCAAAUUUUUUAAUUAACUGAACAAAAAAUUUGGAAUUCGUCAAGACAUAAUAAUUCGCGAGUACAUUGAUAAAUAGUCGAGAGAUUGAAAUCUGAAGUCAAAAGGAUCACUUUUCUUAUAUAAAAGUGGAUAAACAAACACUUAUUUUUAUACGACUAAAAUCGAUACAAUUCGUUAGAGUUGAGCAACUUGUUAAAACUAAUAAUGGUAAUUAUUUUGAAAAAUUCGGCAUUGAGAGGAUUUCAGUUAAUAGAACGAGAACAUAAUUACUUUUAUUAGGAUUUAUUUACGAAAUUAUAAUAUGAAAUCAUGAAAUUAAAAAAGUAAAAUAAUAUAUAUAUAUAUAAAAAAAGUACUAAUAAAAGUAAUUAUGUUAUCGUUCUAAUAACUGAAAUAAAGAUAAUAUGAAAUUUAUAGAGAAUUUUUGAAAUUUUUUCCAUAUUGUUUAAUUAACUGGACAAAAAUGCUGAAUAUGUUAAAAAAAAAAAAAUUCGCACACACAUAAAUAGUCGUGAGUUAUGGAAUCUGAAGUUAGAAGGUUCACUAUCUUAUAUGGAAUGGAUAUUUACUUUUUAUAUGAGAAAACGGAUAAUUCGUUAGAGUUGAGCGACAUGUCGGAUUAUUGACAACUGUCAAACGACCGUUUAUUCGUUUUAAUUCUUUUUGGUAAGCCGGCGUUGAGAAACAUGCCGUUAUUAAUUUUAAAAAAUCGUUGGGUUUAUGAAUGACUUAACAUUAUUGCUAUUUUGAAAGACCGUUGGAUUUUGAAAAACCAUUUAUACAUCCGUUAUUAAUUUUGACAAGUCGCUCAAAGUUUAUCCAUUUUGAUAUAAAAAUAAUAAGGAAAAUCAAUUAUUUAUCAAAAAUCAAAAAAAGUGUACUAAUAAAAGUAAUUAUGUUCUCGUUUCAAUAAUUGAAAUAACAAUUGUCUGAAGUUUAUCAAGCUUUUUUUUUUUAAAUUCCAUAUUUUUUAAUUAACUGAACAAAAAAUUUGGAAUACGUCAAGACAUAAUAAUUCGCGAUUACAUUGAUAAAUAGUCGGGAGCUUGAAAUCUGAAGUCAAAAGGAUCACUUUUCUUAUAUAAAAAUGGAUAAACAAACACUUAUUUUUAUUCGACUAAAAUCGAUAUAAUUCGUUAGAGUUGAGCAACUUAUUAAAACUAAUAAUGGUAAUUAUUUUUAAAAAAUUGGCAUUGAGAGGAUUUCAGUUAAUAGAAAGAGAACAUAAUUACUUUUAUUAGGGUUUAUUUACGAAAUUAUAAUAUGAAAUCAUUAUAAAUUAAAAAAUAAAAAAUAAAAUAAAAAAUAAAAAAUAAAAAAUAAAAUAAAAUAUAUGUAUAUAUAUAUAUAUAUAUAUAUAUUAUUAAGUAAUAAAAAGCUUAGGUUUGAUAUAAAAAUAACAAGAAAAAUAAAUUAUCAAAAAACCAAGUACUAAUAAAAUAAUUAUGUUAUCGUUCUAAUAACUGAAAUAAAGAUAAUAUGAAAUUUAUAGAGAAUUUUUGAAUUUUUUUCCAUAUUGUUUAAUUAACUGGACAAAAAUCCUGAAUAGGUUAAAAAAUAAUAAUUUUGCACGCACAUAAAUAGUUGUGAGUUAUGGAAUCUGAAGUUAGAAGGUUCACUAUCUUAUCUGAAAUGGAUAUUUACUUUUUAUACGACAAAAAGGAUAAUUCGUUAGAGUUGACCAACAUGUCGGAUUAUUAACAGCUGUCAAACGACCGUUUAUUCGUUUUAAUUCUUUUUGGUAAGCCGGCGUUGAGAAACUUGCCGUUAUUAAUUUUAAAAAAUUGUUAGGUUUAUGAAUGACUUAACAUUAUUGCUAUUUUGAAAAAUCGUUGGAUUUUAAAAAACCAUUUAUACAUCCGUUAUUAAUUUUGACAAUUCGCUCAAAGUUUAUCCAUUUUGAUAUAAAAAUAUUAAGGAAAAUCAAUUAUUUAUCAAAAACCAAAAAAGUGUACUAAUAAAAGUAAUUAUGUUCUCGUUUCAAUAAUUGAAAUAACAGUUGUCUAAAGUUUAUCAAGGUUUUUAAAAAAAAAAUCCAUAUUUUUAAAUUAACUGAACAAAUUUUUUUGAAUAUAUCAAGACAUAAUAAUUCGCGAGUACAUUAAUAAAUAGUCGAGAGCUUGAAAUCUGAAGUCAAAAGGACUACUUUUUCUUAUAUAAAAAUAGAUAAACAAACGCUUAUUUUUUAUACGACUAAAACCGAUAUAAUUCGUUAGAGUUGAGCAACUAGUUAAAACUAAUAACAGUAUUUAUUUUUAAAAAUCCGGCAUUGAAAGGAUUUCAAUUAUUAGUACGAGAACAUAAUUUCUUUUAUUAGGAUUUAUUUAUGAAAUUAUAAUAUGAAAUAAUGAUAAAAAAUAUAUAUAUUAUUAAGUAAUAAAAAGCAUAGGUGUGAUAUAAAAAUAACAAGAAAAAUAAAUUAUCAGGAAAAAAAAAGUUUACUAAAAAAAGUAAUUAUGUUCUCGUUCUAAUAACUGAAAUAACGAUAAUAUGAAAUUUAUAGAGUUUUUUAAAAAGAGUUUCCAUUUUAUUUAAAUAACUGGACAAAAAUGUCGAAUAUGUUAAAAAAAAAAAAUCGCACGCACAUAAAUAGUCGUGAGUUAUGGAAUCUGAAGUUAGAAGGUUCACUAUCUUAUCUGAAAUGGAUAAAUGGAUAUUUACUUUUUAUACGACAAAACGGAUAAUUCGUUAGAGUUGAGCGACAUGUCAGAUUAUUAACAGCUGUCAAACUACCGUUUAUUCGUUUUGAUUAUUUUUGGUAAGCCGGCGUUGAGAGACUUGCCGUUAUUAAUUUUAAAAAAUCGUUGGGUUUCUAAACGACUUAACAUUAUUGUUAUUUUGAAAAUUCGUUGGAUUUUAAAAAACCGUUUAUACAUCUGCUAUUGAUUUUGACAUGUCGUUCAAAGUUUAUACAUUUUGAUAUAAAAAAAUAAUAGGGAAAAUCAAUUAUUUAUCAAAAACUAAAAAAGUGUACUAAUAAAAGUAAUUAUGUUCUCGUUUCAAUAAUUGAAAUAACAAUUGUCUGAAGUUUAUCAAGCUAUUUUUUAAAAAAAUUCUAUAUGUUUUAACUAACUGAACAAUUUUUUUUGAAUACGUCAUGAAAUAUUAAUUCGCGAGUACAUUGAUAAAUAGUCGGGAGCUUGAAAUCUGAAGUCAAAAGGAUCACUUUUUCUUAUAUAAUAAAAAUGGAUAAACAAACACUUAAUUUUUAUACGACUAAAACCGAUAUAAUUCGUUAGAGUUGAGAAACUAGUUAAAACUAAUAACGGUAAUUAUUUUUAAAAAUUCGCCAUUGAGAGGAUUUCACUUAUUAGAACGAGAACAUAAUUACUUUUAUUAGGGUUUAUUUAAAAUAUUAUAUUAUGAAAUCAUGAUAUAGUAUAUAUAUAUAUAUUAUUAAGUAAUAAAAAGCAUAGGUGUGAUAUAAAAAUAACAAGAAAAAUAAAUUAUAAAAAAAAAUGCACUAAUAAAAGUAAUUAUGUUCUUGUUCUAAUAACAUGAAAUUUAUAGAGUUUUUUUUAAAAAAAUUCCAUAUUAUUUAAUUAACUGGACAAAAAUGCCGAAUACUUUAAAAAAAAAAAAAUUCACACGCACAUAAAUAUGAGUGAGUUAUGAAAUCUGAAGUUAGAAGGUUCACUAUCUUAUCUGAAAUUGAUAAAUGGAUAUUUAAUUUUUAUACGACAAAACGGAUAAUUCGUUGGAGUUGAACGACCUGUCGGAUUAUUAACAGCUGUCAAACUACCGUUUAUUCGUUUUGAUUUUUUUUGGUAAGUCGGCGUUGAGAGACUUGCCAUUAUUAAUUUUAAAAAAUCAUUGGGUCUCUGAACGACUUAACAUUAUUGCUAUUUUGAAAAUCCUUUGGAUUUUAAAUAAACCGUUUAUACAUCCGUUAUUAAUUUUGACAUGUCGCUCAAAGUUUAUUCAUUUUGAAAUAAAAAAUAAUAGGGAAAAUCAAUUAUUUAUCAAAACCAAAAAAGUGUACUAAUAAAAGUAAUUAUGUUCUCGUUUUAAUAAUUGAAAUAACAAUUGUCUGAAGUUUAUCAAGCUUUUUUUUUUUUAAAUCUAUAUUUUUUAAUUAACUGAACAUUUUUUUUUGAAUACGUCAAGAAAUAAUAAUUCGCGAGUACAUUGAUAAAUAGUCGGGAGCUUGAAAUCUGAAGUCAAAAGGAUCACCUUUUCUUAUAUAAUAAAAAUGGAUAAACAAACACUUAAUUUUUAUACGACUAAAACCGAUAUAAUUCGUUAGAGUUGAGUAACUUGUUAAAACUAAUAACGGUAAUUAUUUUUAAGAAUUCGGCAUUGAGAGGAUUUCAGUUAUUAGAACGAGAACAUAAUUACUUUUAUUAGGGUUUAUUUACGAAAUUAUCAUAUGAAAUCAUGAUAUAAAAUAUAUAUAUUAAUUAUUAAGUAAUAAAAAGCAUAGGUUUGAUAUAAAAAUAACAAGAAAAAUAAAUUAUCAAAACAAAAAAAGAAAAGUGUACUAAUAAAAGUAAUUAUGUUCUCAUUCUAAUAACUGAAAUAACGAUAAUCUGAAAUUUAUAGAGUUUUUUUGAAAUCUUUUCCAUAUUGUUUAAUUAACUGAACAAAAAUGUCGAAUACGUUAAAAAAUAAUAUUUUCGCACGCACAUAAAUAGUCGUGAGUUAUGGAAUAUGAAGUCAGAAGGUUCACUAUCUUAUAUGAAAUGGAUACUUAUUUUUUAUACGACAAAACGGAUAAUUCAUUAGAGUUGAGUGACCUAUCGGAUUAUUAACAGUUGUCAAAUGACUGUUUAUUCGUUUUAUUUUUUUUGGUAAAUCGGCGUUGAGAGACUUACCGUUAUUAAUUUUAAAAAAUCGUUGGGUUUAUGAGCGACUUAACAUUAUUGCUAUUUUGAAAAACCGUUUAUACAUCUAUUAUUAAUUUUGACAAGUCGAUCAAAGUUUUUCCAUUCUGAUAUAAAAAUAAUAAGGAAAAUCAAUUGUUUAUCAAAAAUAAAAAAAGAAAGUGUACUAAUAAAAGUAAAUAAGUUCUCGUUUCACUAAUGAAAAUAACAAUUGUCUAAAGUUCAUCAAGCUUUUAUUUAAAAAAAUUCCAUAUUUUUUAAUUAACUGAACAAUUUUUUUUGAAUACGUCAAGAAAUAAUAAUAUCGCGAAUACAUUGAUAAAUAAUCGGGAGCUUGAAAUCUGAAGUCAAAAGGAUCACUUUUUCUUAUAUAAAAAUGGAUAAACAAAUACUUAUUUUUUAUAUGACUAAAAUCGAUAUAAUUCGUUAGAGUUGAGCGACUUGUUAAAACUAAUAAUGGUAACUAUUUUAAAAAAUUCGGCAUUGAGAAGAUUACCGUUAUUAUUUGUAAAAAUUCGUUGGGUUUUGAGUGUCUUAACAUUAUUGUCCAACAACUUACCAUUAUUAUUUUUGGUAGAUCGUUGGAUUUUGAACGACCGUUAAACUCGUCAGGUUUUGAGCGCCUUAACAUUAUUGUCCAACGACUUACCAUUAUUAUUUUUGAUAGAUCAUUGAAUUUUGAACGACCGUUAAACUCGUUGGGUUUUGAGCGCCUUAACAUUAUUGUCGACGUAUCAUUAUUAUUUUUGGUAAAUCGUUAGAUUUUGAACGAUCGUUUAUAUCGUUGUUAUUAAUUUUUACAAGUCACUCAAAGUUUAGUGAUUUAUCCAUUUUAACUAUAUAAAGUAAAUGUCAGUUUAUCCAUUUUAGAUAAGAAAAGUGAUCCUAUUGUUUUCAAACUUCAUGCUCACGAUUAUUUAUGUGUUCGCGAAAUUAUUAUUCUUUACAUAUCGAUAUUUUUGGGGUGUUGAGAGACUUAAACAUUAUUGCCCAAUGACUUACCAUUAUUACUUUUAGUAAUUCGUUGGAUUUUGAACACUUAAUAUUUUUUUAAAAAAUUAAAUCGUUGUAAGUUAAACUACUCAAUGUAUAUUAAAUUCAUCCAUUUUUAAUGUUCAUUUAACUUCAAAAAAGUAAUUUUCUCCCAUCAUUUGUUGAUGUUAGUUAAGUUUCAAAUCAUCAAAUUCCUCGAAUUUUCAUUCGCUAAUCAAUUAUUUACGUUGUGAUAUUGAGUUUUUUCAUUAUUUAAUGAACUUCUAGAAUCAUAAUACUUUAAUGAUUUUGCACAUUUCGCAUUUUAAAUUGUAUAUAGUUAAAUACAAGUAGUACUGUUAUAUACUUCUACUGUCCACUUUUAAUUGUCAUGUUGUGCUUUUCGAAAGUCAAUUUGACUAAUUUUCAAAGCUAAAUUAGAUUACAUUAAUUUGAUAUUUUAAACAAAAAAUUCAGAUAUUCAAAAACUAUACAAAAAGUACUAUAAAUUCUAAUUUUUUGCAUAUCAAUAUGAUGAAAAAAUGCAUCGUAAAAUGUUAGUCAAAAUUAUUAUCGUUUGACUCUAAACAAAAUUAUGACAAUUAAAAGUGGACGGAGGUAGUAUUUAAUUAGAUACAUCAUUUUUGUUUUUCUUAAAAAGAAAUUAUAAUAUUAAACAGGACAUUUCUUUGCACGGAAAAUAGAAUAUUAAAAUUUAUGAUUUAAAACAUUUCAAAAUACUUGUGUGAUUGUAAAAACAUUAAGAGUAUAAUAAAAAUAAUAAAACAACAACUAAGUUAUUUUUCAGAAUUAGAAAAUGACACUUUUUAAAAUAAAAACUAUAAAAAAAAUUUAAAGUACAUAAAUAAAAACUAAAGAAAUAUCAUAUCAAAAGAGACAAAGAAGAAUUAAGAAUGUUGUGAGUUCCAAAGAUCAGCGGUUACAAAAGUGUGACAAGAGUACAAAUUGAUCAUGACAUAUUAGUAUUUAACUUAAUUUAAAAUACUAAAUGUGUAAAUUCACUUGAUUACAAGAGUAUCAAAAGAGACAAAAAAGAAGUAAGAAUAUUGCGAGUUUCAAAGAUCAGCGGUUACAAAAGUGUCACAAGAGUAUAAAUUGAUCAUGAUGCAUUAAUAUUUAACUUAAGCUAAAAUACUAAAUGUGUAAAAUCACUUGAUUACAAAAGUGUCACGAGAGUUCAAAUUCAUCACGAUACGUUAGUAUUUUACAUAAUUUAAAAUAUUAAAUGUAUAUAAUCACUUAACUCACACAAUUUGUUUUUUAAAAAAUAAUAAAUUGUUCAAAGCUCGUCGACUUACUAAAAUAAUAUAAAAUUAAUUAAAAUUAAUAAUUAUUUGCAUAACGGUAUUAAUUUGAACAAGUUUCUCAAGGUCUAGCGAUUUGUCCAUUUUAAUCAUAUGAAAAAAAUAAGUAUUUAUUGAUGUAUUAGAUUUUAAAAUGACCCUUUUGACAUAAUUUUCUGAGAGCAUGAACCUAAAAUAAAGUUAAAGUUAAAAUAAAAAUACAAAUAUAAAAAGUUAAAGUACUGUAAACACAAAAUAAAUGAAAAUUAAGCACUAAUAUAUAGUAUCAAUAAAAGAGUAUCAAUAGGUCUAAAAUACUACAUAAUCUUCAAAAUACAAAUCAAUAGGUCUAGCGAUUUGUCCAUUUUGAUCAUAUAAAAAAAUAAGCAUUUAUUGAUGCAUUUUAGAUUUUAAAAUGACCCUUUUGACAUAAUUUUCCGAAAGCAUGAACCUAAAAUAAAAAUACAAAUACAAAAAGUUAAAGUACCAUAAACACAAAAUAAAUGAAAAUUAAGCACUAAUAUAUAAUAUCAAAAAAAGAGUACCAAUAGGUCUAAAAUUCUACAUAAUCUUCAAAAGACAAAUCAAUAGUUCUAGCGAUUUGUCCAUUUUGAUCAUAUGAAAAAUAAGUAUUUGUUGAUGCAUUUUAAAUUUUAAAAUGAACCUUUUGACAUAAUUUUCUGUGAGCAUGAGCCUAAAAUAAAAAUAAAAAUAAAAACAUAAAUACAAAAAGUUAAAGUACCAUAAACACAAAAUAAAUGAAACUUCAGCACUAAUAUAUAGUAUCAAUAGGUAUAGAAUACUACAUAAUCUUCAAAAUACAAAUCAAUAGGUCUAGCGAUUUAUCCAUUUUGAUCAUAUGAAAAAAUAAGUAUAUAUUGAUGCAUUUUAGAUUUUAAUAUGACUCUUUUGACAUAAUUUUCUGAGAGCAUGAACCUAAACUAAAAAUAAAAAUACAAAAAGUUAAAAUACCAUAAACAAAAUAAAUAAAAAUUAAGCACUAAUAUAUAGUAUCAAUAAAAAAGUAUAAUAGAUCUAAAAUACUACAAAAUCUUCAAAUGUUAUCAUCUCGAUGGAUUUUAAUUUCAAUACUACAUAUGCAUAUAAAAUUACAUAUAAAUCAAACAUAUUGAAUACAUAUGAUAUAUGAAAAAUCAAUCAAUUUUAAAAAAGAAAAAUCAACACAUCUCAAAAUCAUAAAAAGAAGGUUUACGCCUUUUCUUAAAUAUACUUGCUAUCAAUGUAAAUAUUCAACAAAAUAAAUGGAAAAAAAAAAAGAAUAAGUAAAUAAAUAAAAAACUAUCAAUUCUUAUUGUUUUAGGAAAGUGUUUCGCUUCAAGUAAGAAUAAAAAAUACGUAUUUGCUUGACGUUAUUCUUAUUAAAAAUAAAUUUAUUGUUUUGCACAAGUUAUAAAUGCAUAUUUUUAUAUUAAAAUUAGGCUUAAGUCAUCGACCGCCUCUUAAAGUUGUUCGCAUAAUUCACUUAGACACCUCAACUAAGACUUGUACCUAUUGAACAUCUAAAUUGUUCAAAACAUGUACCUAUUAAACACAAAACGCUGAUAUGGCAAAAAAUGUGUUUUGCACUUCCCUGAAGCGCGUGAAAAGAUUCAAAAUAGUGUCUUUUUGAAUUUUUCUUUACAUUUUUUCUUCUUUUAUUGACACUUGGCAUUAUAAUUAACUUAAAAAUAUUUUUCUUCUUUCAUUUACACUUUUUUCAAAAAAGAAAAGGACCCCACUCCCUACCUAUCAUCUUCUUCAUACUUUAGUUUGCAAAACUUUCUUCAUUUUAGCUCUAACAUUGUUUUUCUUUCUUUUUUUUAUAAAAAAAGGAAUAUUAUUUCUUCCAAAUAUGAAGAUAAAUGAAAAUCAACUAUGAAGAUUCAGAUUUGAAAGAAAGUAAGACUUUCUUUCGUAUGAUUUAUUUCAACUCUCAUAAAAAUAAGGAACAAAUAUGAAGAAGAAGAAAGAAGAUAAAUGAUUUUUACGUAUAAAAAAAGUUAGCCAAUAUUUGUUUAUCACAAUUUUCGAACAAAGAUUUUUACUCAAAUUCAUAUAUAAACCCAUUAAAUUUAUCAAAAAUGAUAUUCAAAAAUUUGAAAGAAUUAUUUUUUGAGAUAUCAAUUUCAUUUUGUCAUCGAUGUAGAAAUGAAUAACCGCCGGUAAAAUUUUCUUUCUUCUUCACUCUUAGUAUGAAAAUGUAUAUAUAUAUAUAUUUUUAAAGUUAAUCUUCAAGUUAUUUGAAAAGAAUUAUGUUUUGUGAUUUGAGAAAGAAUGUGUUUUGGGAAGAAGACGAAGAUGAAAGGGGGUUGGGUAGGGGUGGGGUUGGGUAGAAUAGGUUGACAUUUUCAUUUUUUUCUUUUUCUUUUUCUUUUUAAAAAAAUUAGAUAUAAAAAGUGUUUGAAAUAAUUUUAAACAAAUUUUUUUUUUAUAUAAUUUUCAAGGCCCAGUGCCACAUGUUAUUUUUUAAUUAGCCGUUUUGUCACGUCACCGCAAGUGUAUCACACACUCUUCAUAUAUUUUGCUGAAUUAUCAAAAAAUGCCUAAUAGGAAUAAUUUUUGAAUUGGUAAAAGUGUUCAAUAGGUACUAGUCUUAAUUGAUGUGUCUAAAUGAAUUAUGCGGAUAAUUUUAAGAGACUACUGAUGACUUAAUCCUUAAAAUUAUUAUAAACUAUGUCGAACAAAUAUUUACUAUUUAAAGCAUGUAUAACUUUAACAUAAAUAAUCAAGAAAAACACUUCAUAGCAUUGUUAAUUGUAUAACAUAGAACAAUAAUUCUUCAAAGUUUAAGGGGGGAAAAUGAACAUGUCAAAAAAUUAAUGGUAUUCACUGUGAUGUCAAAAUCUUCUUUGUAAUAAUUUCCUCAAUUAAACUAUCUAAUAUUACUUCAAAAAAAAUUCAAAAAUUUGAAUAAAAGAACUAAAAUAAAGAAAUAAAUUUCAGAAAGUACUAAAAUUUAUCUUAAUUUGUCUUCCUAAUUUUACUACUUGACACGUUUUCAUAAAUUAAACCUUGAAUGUCCUCAGGUCAGAAAGGGGAAAAACCUAGGGCUUUCUCUUUCUCUGACGGCUCCUUUCUAGGCAGUUGUUGCGCAACUCUCUCAUGGCUGCUACGACCAUUGGACGACCUCCUCUUGAGUCUGUCCAUCCCGCCCCACCACCCCAAACCACCACAUAUGCCACCCUUAUCGAUUACAAUACUCUUAACCCCAAGCAAUCUACCCUAAAUAACUAAAAAAACAAUCAUAAAAAUAUGUCAAAAUUGUUCACGGAGAACCUACUAUCACGUUUUUAACAGAGGAAAGAUAAAAUUUUAUGAUCGAAGAAGGAUUGCAUCAAGCAUUGGUUUAAAUUAUCUUAUGGUAUGAUAGAUUUGAAGGUAUUAAGGUUGAUUUUGCCGAAACAUCUUGGUACCAAGGGCAACUAUUUAAUUGACUUACUUGCUCCAAGACAAAUUUUGUUGAGGUUUGAUCAAUAUGAAGAUUUUGUACUAGCUUUAUCUCGCUCAGGAUUAUCUUCUCUACAAUGGAGAAGAUCACCAAUAUAUGGUACUUCCAUGGUCCAUUGGAUAUAAUCCUAAGGAGGAAACGACUUUAGCUGUGAUUUGAAUUUCUUUAUCGAACUUAUCUCCUGAUUCGUUUGCAAAGAAGUAUUUGUUGUCUCUAGCAUCGGUAGUUGGGAAAUCAAUAGUCAUAGAUAAAACUACUCAAAUAAAGUCAAGACCAAGCAUGACGAGGGUCAAGGUUAUACAUGAUCUAUUUGAAAAACUUUCAAAUCGUAUAAGGUUGCAUUUUGUGGAUGAAAAACCUGGUAAGUUGAUCGAGGUUUUUCAGGAGGUUGUAUAUGAUAACUACCUCUGUAUUGCAAUUAUUGUAAGCAUCAAAGUCGUGAUGAAGUUAGUUAUUGUUUGAUCUCGAAAAGAAAUCAAAAUAACAAACAAAUUGAUGAUACCAUUGAGUCUACUUUAAAAGGUACUAGCAAUAGUGAAAAAUAUCAAGGUGAUGUGAGGGAAAUACUAAAUGAAAAAAGGGUGGUGGAUGUCGAUUAAAGUAAAGCUACUACUUUAGAUCGACAUUUGAUUGUUGCCACUUCUAAGCAAAAUCGUGGAGACUCAAUGAAUAUUGAUACAGGGGAAACACCAAGAGUUGGGGUUGAUGCGCCGCCAGUUGAUUCAAGACCAAACUAAUAGAUACAACUGAUGUUGAAGAUACUGAAAAAUUCUAGGCAACAUUUUUUGCAACUUGAAAACGAGAAUGCAACUAAAAACUGGACACUAGUUGAACACAAAAAAUCAACUAGUAGUCGGACCCUUUCCACAACUAGUUAAAAUAAUUCUCCAUGUAGUGGAAAGAGUGCGACUAGAAAUUUUUAGGACAAUGAGAAGAGACAAGAGAUUAGUAAUGCCUCAAGAAACCUAUUAUGUUUGAAUAACUUUGAUGCUUUAUUGAAUGCUACUGGAAAAGAUGGUAAUAUUAUGGCUCCAACAUUAUAUCUUUCUAAUCCUGAGGUAGUUAAGAUUAUUGAAGAAAAUCGGGAUGUCAUGCUACUCAAAUUCAAUCCAGCGGUUAAGUCACUCAUGGUCACAUUGAACACCUCAACUCAUAAGAUCUCUUCUAUCUUUGGAAUUGCUUGGUGAAUCUGCACAACUAGUAAGAUCAACAAAGAAUGACAAUGAUUUGGUCUAAGAAGAGCAGGUUUCACCACCUGCUAUAAAUUGAAAAUUAAGCCAGAAGCACGUAUUUGUGCCUAAAUGUCUGAUUGAAAAGAAGAAUGAUUCUAAGGCCUUAACGUCGAAUACAAUUGAUUUGGGCGAGGAUUUUCUUGAUGAAGAUGGGGAAGAGCUGGACAUAUGAUUUGGUAGAGUGGCUAGGGAAGAGGAUAUAUCACCUAGGUAACAAAGAAGUGGAAGCAAUAAAAGCAAAAAAGAAGACACAUGAAAGGCAACAUAGUUGGGACAGUAAAGCGACUGAGGAGUUUGUUUCAAGGCCCCUACCGAUGCGACAGGCAAAGCAGAACUAUAUGACAGUAUCAAUAGGUUCAACAAGAUCUAAUAAAUCCAUAAGAAGGUAUGAAUUAUCAAGUGUUGUUGGAUAUGUUUGAAGAAGAAGACAAGAGAAACAUGCUUUCGUAACAGAAAGUUUGAGGCUGAUAGCUCAACCUUCUUCUUGAUUGUCAUAUUUUUACAUUAUUUAAGCAUCCUCAUUUGUAAUAUCAUCAUGGAGUGUAUUACAAACUCUGCGGUGAUCAGAAAAUACUUAGUUCUUUCUAACUCUUAUUUCGUUCAUACUUGUUAGUUAGUAGAAGUUAUGUACCUCAUUAGGAUUGGUACGGUAAGGCGUAGCUCCACUGCUUGUACUUAUCCCUAUUGAUAUUUUUUUAUUUUUAAUAAAAGACCGCUAGAUACUCUGUCUAAUGGUAAAUUUGAAGGAAAAAAUUAAUAAUUAAACCUUAGUCAUAUUUAAUGUCGUUUUGUUGGACUCAGAUUAGAUGUCUGCACAAACAUCAUAUCUUAAUUAAGAAAGGAAUAGAAGAGGCCUAAUUAAGAAAUGACAAUUUAUUUUUGAGGAAUUAAAAAGGGGUUACUUUUUAACCCCCCCCCCCCCCAAUUAAACAUGAAUAAUGAAUAUCAUCCUUUUUAAGAGGAGAAAUAAAAAAAAUGAUUAGAAAAAUAAAGACAAUACUAAUUUUAGAAAGAUAUCACAUCAUCGGGCUCAUUCAAUUAUGUGAGAAUUUAAAGGGAUAAUUGUACAGAAUGACAAACUUAUAAUCUAAAAUAAAUGGAGUAGUUACUGUUUGAUUUAAUUUCGCCUCGUAGCAAACGUUUGCAAGUCGCCUCUCUCCCUCCAAAUUCUCGCUCGCCACUCUCCCUUUCUCGCUCGCUCCCUCUGUGCUCGCCUCUCUCGCUUUAUACAACAGAAUUGUAUAAAUUGAGUUUUUAUUUGUAUAAAGCAAGAGAAAAUUAUAUAUACACAUGCAAAUACAUAUAUAUUCGUCCUAUACACUUAUAAUUAUACAAUAAAAAUAUUCCCUUGCCAACGAGAGGCUAACAACAAUUUAUACAAAUGGCCUGCCAGCGAAAUUAUACAAUUCUGAAGAGGAGCCAACGAAUUAUACAAUUGCUUCUUUUUGUAUAUAUGUAUAGCGAAUUAUACAUAUAUAUGUUUGCUAUGGAGCGCAAUUAUGCAAACUUUGCUAUAGCAUACAAAUAUGAUUUUUUUGUUUGCUAUAUGUGAAAGUUGCUCUUUAUAUUACCAUAGAAUAGAGCAUAAGAUAAGAAUACAUUAUUAAUAAUGUGGGAAUUAAACAUUUAAAGAAAAAACAUGCUCUUUUAGUAUAAUUAAUUUAAGUAAUAUAUUUUCUUUAUUAAUGUUCACCCCCAUAACAUAAAUAAUCAUAUAUUGAAUAUUAGAGGAACCCUUAUUUACAACCAUCUCAAAUUGAAUUUUGAAGUUCGAUUCCAUAAGAGUUUACUGAAAUAUUAUAAUUUCUCUACAUUACUAUUGUUUGGAAAAUUUAAUAUUUUGUUGUAGCACACCUAUUCAUGGGCCUUACACGACACAAAUUCUUUAACAAAUGAACAAUAAAAAUUUCAAUUCAUCUCAUACAAAUAUGAAGAUCGAGAGUAACUCUAAUAACGAGCCAUAGUACUGAAUAGAAAUUGAGAACAUGAAGAUACAUAUCUUUGAAUACACACUCAGUAACAAGAAGGCAAAACAAUUAUAUUUCUACUAAAGAGAAAACUCAUGCAUCUUUACUAUACAAGGAACUGUUUGUUGUUGGAAACUCUGGAUAUACAUUUUCAUUCUACUACAUCAAAAUCUUCUUUCUUUUUUGUACAUCAACAAGUUGAAGACUGUUGGUUGUAUAUGCUAACUUGCUAUGUUAUGUCAAGCUAUAUGCUGUGCUUAAAAAGCCUUUAACCUACUAUUUGCAAAGAAGGGCAAGCUAAUUGGGAAGCCAUAGUAUCCUUCUUGGUCACGAACGUCAUCCAUACUUUCAAUUACAAGGUUCUUCAGGCUCCAGAAAGUUGUGAUAUUCCAACUGAGUCAUCUCUUUGCCGGAUGCUGGGUCAAACUUGCAUCUGAAAAAGCUGCACGACACAAAUUGACAUGUAGGAAUUAUAGUAGGGAUCUUCGCACCUAAAUCCAUUAUUCAGAUAACUUGAGUUUUGGCAAGAAGUUUCUAGUCCACUCAAGACAGAAUGAUCGUUGUCAAUCUGGAAAAUCUGAUUUUCAAUGUCAAAAUAGAUGGAAGAACCAUCUCCAUUCCUAUCAUUAACUAAAAAAGUGUAAACAGAAAAGAAAUCCUGACUGUCUCUAACACCGAAUAAAUAAUUGUGUAUAUGCCAUUACUGAUGAAUCGUCACGACAGAUCCCAGAUGAAGUUAAAACUCAAAUCUUAAUUCAUGUAGAAAAUUACAUAGGAAGGACCAAAUCAUAAUGGGAGCAGACUAAGAUGUCCCAGAAAGACCGUGUAGUCCCUGAGAUAAAUCAGUUUGGACCCUUCAAUUUUUCAGUUGUGGUGACACUAUUGAUAACCAUCUUUUCUAUUGUUUUAAAUAUGUUGAUCUUUGUAACUCUAUGUAAGUAGAUUGAAAUUUAUCUUUCUUCACUCGACAAAAUUUAAAUAGAAGAGAGAGAAAACAUCAUAACAGUCUUUCCUCUCUUUCGCUUAAAGAGAGGUCCCUGAGGAGUUCAUGACCAGAUCACAUCAGUUAUUUCUUCUGUAUGAACUACUUCUAUACAAGCAUUGCUCUUCAAUAUCUUUUACCAAGAUAAGUGUUGGUAUCUAAACAUGUUUAAUUAGUUCUAUGAAAGCUAAAACAAUUAGGAUUUCGAUGAAAUUUAAAUCUAAGAACGGAAAUCAAAUUCUUAGGUGGCAAAUAUUGCAAAGAUGAUUAUGUUACAAGAAAGACAAAAAACCUUGCAAGAGUUAACUAACCUUCCGUCCCAGCCGAGAAUUGUAAGUGUAUUAUUUUCGUUGCCAAAUGUAACAAUGUAUUGAGAAACACCAGGCAGUCGGAAUUGAGCCACAGACCAUUCUGAGCUAAAAUACUUGGGAAGAGCUCCUGCAAGAAUUAAGCACGAAUUCAAGAACCACCUCCGUACUCUCACGUUUAAUAGUUCAUCACUUAAUCAUAGAAAGAAGUAGCAAUAGUGUGUGUGCCAGGUGAUAACCUAGUCUACAUGAAGAAAGUUCCCUUGAAAUACAUAACAUUAAUUAUGAAAAGUCCCCAAGGUAUAUUCUUCAGGAAAAAUCACAGAGGUGGAAACAGAAAUUAUAGACUGUAAUUUGUGCAUAUCACAAUGUCCAAAGAAAGCAUUUUCCAUGACAAAAAAGUUCAGCUGAAUCAAAUAAGGUAAAUUUAUUAUGGCCAGUUGACAAGAAAUCUCCAUCAACCAUGACAAAAAAGUUCAGCUGAAUCAAAUAAGGUAAAUUUAUUAUGGCCAGUUGACAAGAAAUCUCCAUCAACCAUGACAAAAAAGUUCAGCUGAAUCAAAUAAGGUAAAUUUAUUAUGGCCAGUUGACAAGAAAUCUCCAUCAACCAUGACAAAAAAGUUCAGCUGAAUCAAAUAAGGUAAAUUUAUUAUGGCCAGUUGACAAGAAAUCUCCAUCAACCAUGACAAGUUAAUUAGCCAACCGCUUGUGGCUCAUCACUACAAACAAGAAAGCAAGUAAUACUAUACUAUUAUACUCCAUAGUGGCAAUAGAGGAUGCUGUAUAAAAAACAGAAUUCACUAAUCACAUAUCUUAUGGAGUCAACAUAUAACACUGAUUAUAAACCACACAAUGUUGAAAGACCACAGUAAAAAUGACUCACUCCGAGAGCUUUUUAACUAUGUGAAACAAUUUGUCAAAUAAAUCCUUCUAGAAUAUUCUGUGGCUUGAUAAAUAGACAAAGAAGAAAAUGUAGCAUGUAGAGGCAAGGUGUCCUUUCAAGAAACAAAAGUUUGCUCUCUAUGGUAGUAAUUGCAAUUCCCGCAUGGAGUGCAUGUAGUAGAAUAUUUUCACUAUUUAAAUAGAUGCCUCAAAAUCAGCAAAUGAACGUCAUGUUCUUAGGGACAGAGUUAAAAAUUAGAUGCAAGAUUUUUUAUUGCUUAACAAGGAUUUGUAAAUAUACAUAUUAAAAUACCAAAAUAAUUUUAUUGAGCAUGAAUGGAUACCCAUCUAUGUUUUUAAAAUAUAAACUAGAAACCUUAAAUCUGCUUUAGAGAUACCUCUGAUGAAGGAGAAUGAACUAGAGGCUGCCACAGGAACACGGGAGUUGGAAGAACAAUUUGACUUGUCAGUACUCCUGUUCCCUAGAUUGACCUUAAGGCUGAAAACAUGAACAGUGCCUUUGUCGCUGGAGACAGCUAGCCACUGAGCAGUUGGAGAGAAUGACAAACUAUAUAUUUCUGCUCUAUCCAAACCCCUUCUUACCUGAAUCAUACAUGAUUUAGCAAAAGACAAGCAUGUAAUGCUGUUAGUUGGUCGAAAGGAAAGUUAAAAGACUCAAUUAGUUGGAAGUUCAAAGAAAUCGUGUAGGCAGGCCAAGAAGAAAUAGAAAGCCAUAAAAAAGUUCAAUCUUACAAUCUUUAUCAAUUAUGUCCAGCAUCAUACUAUGGAUGAGGAUGACAAAAUGUAGAAAUUACUCUUGUAAUUAUGGGAGGAAAACUCAUUCAAGAUAGAAAAAGAGGAACUAGCAAACGAUGUCUAUUAAAUUUGUUUUGGGUUCAAGGGAGUAAAAGGGUGAAAAACCAUACAGAUUUCUAGAUUUCAAAUACUUUAUUUUAUUUUUGAUAAAAUGUAGUGGUCGACCCAGAUAGGGGGUUGAUAAUAUCAGAAUAUUGCAAGCUAAAGGUAAAACCUAAUGAGGAAAUUAUAGAGUACGUAAAACUGCUCCAGUAAGUUGGCAAAGAACUAUAAAAUAUAAUUUGGAUGAUCAGCAAGUCAGCAUCAUGCUGAAUGAUCAUAAGAACAGAAAUGAAGACUGACAACAGGUAAAGGGAAUUUAAAGCAACUGGAGAUCACUACUAAAGCAGCAACAUAAAAAAUUCUAGUCCAUAUAACAAUGUCAAUAUCCCCUCCAUCAUUAAGUAUUCUUAUUUUGGCCCGACAAGGGAAAAAAAUACUAUGAGUAACAGAGAUGCUGUGAUUACUUCAGGUUAUGUAACAAAAGAGUAUGCAACAUAGGAUCAAACUAAAACAAUGACGACACAAAUUCCUUACCUCCUGCAACAAUGUACCUUCUAGCGUGUUGAAAAUCCGGAUUAGUGUACCCUUGGUGCUUGCUGUUGCUAGUAGGUUGCCUUCCCUCGUAAGAGCAAAACAUGCAAGAACUGAAUCAUGUGCUACAAUAGAUUUUGUGCUUUUUGAAGCAUUAUGUUUGACCCAAACUUGACCCUUUUGCAGACCAGGGCACACCAAGACAAGUUGAUCAGCAGUUUGUGAAACCUCACAGAGCCCCUUUGGGUUUGUAGUUGUUUCAAUUUGAAACAACAACUCCAGAUUAGAAAAAUUGUAGACAAAUAUCUUAUGCUCAAGAACUACCACGAGGCAGUCCUUCCGAAGCCUGAUGCGGCGCACCUCCGACCGGAAACAGAGCUCAUGGAUGCAACGGCUUUGCUGAUCAUCCCAGAUCAUGACCUUGUUUCGGGGAUAUUGUGGGUGGUCUCCAUGUCCAACAAAGGCUAAUAUAUUACUCCGAAAGAGCAUUUCAAUAAUUCCAAUACCACCUAUAUUUUCAAAGUUUCGACAAAAGGACUCACCGAAAGGGACACAGUUAUAUACUCCAAAACCGCGAUCAGUGCCGAUAGCAAAACAGCCGUAGUCUUGAUUGAAAGUAACAUGGUAUGCAGUUGCUGAAUGAUUGACAAAGACAUGAUUAGAACCAACACCUGAUUCGGGGUUUUUGAUAGAUGAACCAUGAAGAGACUCAUCAUUUACUUGCUCAACAGCAGCUUGUUGUGGCUGCAGCUGAUGUUGUUGUGCUUCUGGUUGCUCUAAAUAACGCUGGAGAUUUAGAGACUGAAACUUUGAGCUAGUAUUUGGGAGUGGAAAGGGAGGGGAGAAUGGUGAAGGAGUAUCCAUGGAUAGGGAUACGUAGAUGAAUUCAGUAUCAGGCUUAAUUACAAAGUAAGAAAGAUGUAUUGUUUCUAACUGAGGGCAUGGCACUAAAGCAAAGCUUUCAGACAACGUACAGGACCACAUUCAUACUCAUCAAUCUGCAUCAAAGAAGAAGAGACAUAAAACUAGCUGUACUAAUAAACAAUGAAUAACCAACAUUACCAUUUGCAAAAAAAAAAAACAUGAAUAACUAACCAAAGAUCACAACAAAAUCACUGCAAGGAAAAUGGUCAAACACUAGACAAAUAAAGAUUAUUGUUUAAGUAGGAUAAAUAGCCAGUCAAUUCGCUCUCCCCAAGAGUAGAGGGCUUUUGGUCUAGGGAAACUUUAAUGAGUCAAACACUCACAUGGUUAACUAUAAACUGACAAGUAAAUACUUACAUUCUCUGUAUAGUGUUGAACUGGUAGAGCAUCAAACAAUUUCUCAUACUAGUAGGUAAGAUAAUAUACUCACGUAGAAAAGGAUGACUGCAAAACUAAUCAGUAGUGGGAGAAGAGCUAAAGAAAAUGGUAACAGCACAUGAUCUACGUAUAUAUAUUUCCUUAAAAGCUACAAGUCCUUCUGUCAGCCCAAAGAAUGCUUAAGAUCAAGUAUAAAGCACAUUGUGAAAUGAUCUUAAAACCCGGAACUAAACGUGUUGCACAAUGCAUCAACAACUCACUGAAUGUGAGUUUAAACCCACUAGGAGCAAAACAGGCUGAAUGUUUUGUGUCGCUUAGCAGGCACUUCAGUGCAGUCACCAAAGCACCAGAUAUUAUUAUUUGUACCUUUGUGCUUAUAAUUGUUAUUCUUGAAAAACGAAUACAUGUUUGCAUCUUUUUCUUCAUUUGUGCCUUUCUUCAUUAAAGCCUGUGAUUUACGCUUAAAACCCCCAACAAACCUUAGCACUUUUCGCCUUUUAUAAUGCUACUUGGCGAGAGCAGUACUAGGAUCAGUGAUACCAUAGACAUUCCCAGUAUUACAUACUUUUUCAAGACAACACCUGUGAGCUUUGAAAAGCAUUACUCAUCUCAACUCUCAAGUUAGCAUUGUAAGAAUAGACUUAAUAUCUUAUAUCUAAAUAUUAAAUUUAGUUGGAAACCGAUACAAAUUAAGUUGAAGAAAUACAUGAAAUUCUUUUCUUCUACACCAACAAGUUAAGACUUUGAUGUGUAAUUCAUCCGUUCAACUUGCAAAAGUGUCUACAAUCAAAUUUACCUCCAAGAAAUCUCAUUUGUUACAAAUUCUACAAUGCGGUCCAAUUUAUAUGUAAGCUGGUGCAAGUUUUGUAGCAGGGGUGGUUUUGUAACUCAUUCUCAAGUAGAAAUUUUAUUUUACUUUUAAUUUUUAUAAUCAAGAAAUCCCCAACGGCCAAUGGUGCAUCGUUCAAAACUCGAUAGAUAAUCUGCCCACCCUUUUGUCCUUCUCCACUUAAACACCAUUCUGUCAGCCACAAACUGAACCUCACUCACACAUCAUAAGUCGUGCUCUUACCACUAGACCAAAGCCUAGGGGGCUUCUCAAGUAUCACAAUUUUUUACGAAAAUGAUUCAACCAGGUUUGAAGUACCCCAUUUUAGGUAAAGUUUUCUAGUUCACCGUCUCCCCUCCCCCUCCACACGACACAAAAAAUGACUAAAAGCACCAAAAUCUUCAAAGAAAAUAAACUAAUACAAGUAAAUACACAUGAUUAUUCAGGGUCAAAACACAAUACAAACUGCUCUAACCCCCUAUUGAUCAUAAAUGAACUUAUAAUAUCAAACCCAUCAUUCUUUAGCAUUACCCUUUUACCAAAACAAGAACAUAAGGCAUCACAAACAGAGUUGACAAUAACAAAUACAAGUCAACAUUAUAUAUUUGUAAAUGGUUCAUAUAAAACAAACCCCACAACCCCACAUACAUAUAUGACUACUCCACUUCAUCCAAAAUCAAAAAGGCAUCAAAUUUGUUUCAAUAUAUAAUAAACAUCCAGUUCAACAUACCCAACACUGAAAAAAAAUAUAUAUAUACAAGAAAAUGUACUACAAGUGAAGGAGAUAAAUUGAAAUUUGAAGGAGGAGCGAAUACAUACAUGAAGGAUGGAGACUGGAAAUGGUUCUUGAAUCUUGGAAUUUGAGGUUUUGAAUUUUGUAGAGAAGAGUGAAGGAGAAAAAAAAGUUCGGUUCUUGGAGAAAUGUAUAACUAUUAAUUUGGACUUAGUUUUAUGGGACUUUUUGGGUAGGUCCAUACAAACACGCGCGCAUUACUUGGCUCGAAAGCAACAAGGACUAGAUUUUUUUUAUACUCAUCCCAAUUUACGUGACACUUUUCGUAUUUCAAAAUUCAAACAAGUCUAUUUUUAUUGUAAAUUUUUCCUAUAUCUUUCAAAUAUUUUGAAUUGUCAAAUAUUGUGACUUAUAGUAUUUUCUUUUUAUGUAGAUUACAAAUAUAUAAAUUUCAUUCAAAAAAAUUGAAGAUUUCAUGUGCAAAUUUUCGUUUAAACUUAAAUUAUUUAACUCUCGAUAAAUGAAAAGUGUCACAUAAAUUAGGAUGGAGGAAGUAAAAGAAAUUCAAUGAAAUCAAAUGUCCCCAAAAAUAGAGAAAUAAAAUUUUGCAUGAUUGGAAAAAUUGGUGAAAGAAAAUUAUUGAUACUAUUAUAUGAAAAGAAUAUACUUCAUCUAUUCUUUACUAAAUGAAUUUUUGAGCCAAUGCAUACAUAUUUAGAAAAACAUUUAAAGACAUAAUUUGAAUCAUAAUUUUCACUAUUAUUCUUUGUAAAUCAUAAAUAUAACUUUUAGUAUAAUUUAUCUCCUAGAAAAUAUAAAACUUCAAUAAAUGAAAGGACAAAUAUCGGAAAAAUUUCAAACUUUGAACAAUUCAGUUAUUUUGAUCAAUGAAAAAAGACUAAAAAAUUUCAGUUAAUAUGAAACAGAGGGAAUACUUUUUUUUUAUCAUAUGUGUUCUUGGUUUUCCUUAAUUAGUAUUAGAGUGUGUGUUUUUUUUUUUCUAUAAGAUUAUAUUUUUUUAUAGGUUUUGUAUAGGGGUAUUCACAAUUUGGAUAAAAAUUGCCAAAUUGAAAAAUCAAACCAAAUUGAUUAAGUAAAUCGAUUUGGAUUUAGUUUUAUUUUGUUAAAAAACGAAGAUAUAACUGAACUAACAAAUUAUAUACAUAUAUUUUAUAAUUUUAUAUACAUAAUAUAUAUAUAUUUUAUAAACAAUUUUAGAUAUAAUUUUAUAUACAUAAUAUAUUGUUUUUUAUAAGCAAUUUUAGAUAUAAGCAAAAACGCCCAAGGUGAGGUAUUUAUCUUAUUUGUUUUGGUGUAUAUGAGUAUUUAUGGUAGUUCUUAGAGAGACUAGAAGUCCCAAAUUGAUGAGAUCGAAACAAAUAUUUAAAUGUGUUUACUACUAAACAUUACAUUUCUCUUCCUCAAUUUGUAAUCGCUCCUUCAAAAUAUUACUCAAUAACCUUGAAAAUGAUGGAUCUUGAACUUUUGAUCGCAUCUUAUCCCACAGGCAAAUUCAAGAUAAAAAAUCAAAAGUUCCAUUUAUGAGAUAAAACUUGUUAAACUUCUUGGAGCAAGUGGGGUCAAAAGUUCAAGGUCAUUCAUGUAAAUCACACAAAAAUGUUACAUUUUCAAAAGUCCAGCAAUGUUGUUCAAAAGAGGAACCAAAAAAUAGAAGAGAAUUAGAAUGGGAACUAGUCUAUAAUUAACUGGCUGUGUGCCAAAACUAUAUUAUUCACCAAAACAAAAGCACUUAUUACUUAAUAAAUAAUAUUAAAAAAAAACGAGCAUGAAGUCAAGCCCCAAUGCGAGUACUGGACACUGGGUGAUGGACCAACUAUUUCUGCAAUUACCAAUAAUUCUAACACUGCCUUCACUUUCUAAAGCUUCUGAGAUGCGGAACUGAUCGACUCAGUGAUUUUACCUACUGUUCUCAUUGCUGAACCAACAUCAAGUUGAUCAAGUGUCUUGAGGAACCAAUAACCUUAUAUGUAUCUAAUUGAUCUUCUUAAGGCAGUUAACAUAUGUGUAACUUGAGAAAGAAACAAAUAGCUUACGAAACCUGAAAAAGGCAAACCAAAAGAUAGUUAUAAAACAUGUAAUGUGUGUGGAUAAAAUGUUUUUGGGAAGACUCAUCUGGCUAAAUACCGAUGUCUUAGUCCCAAGAUCGAGUGAUAUCAGCAACUACUUUUUUACUGAAAGCAAUACAUCAAGGACAACAGUGUGAUGGCUUGCAAUCUAGAGGGCUGGAUGUGUCUUACAGAUCAUUUACUUUAUAUUUGAUUUAUCUUCUCCCUUCCAUAAUGGAAUAAACCACUACUCCCCAAAGAAGAAGGAAAUGAAUGUCUGGAAAGCGAAGCUGAGAUUGAAAUGACCCUUCCUUUGUUUCUUUUUUUCGGACUUUUUUAUACGUGUACCAUCGUAAGCAAGAUAAUAUAGCAAAGGUAUUACAUACCAAACCCACUGGCUCUUGUGCUGAGCCAUUGCAGCUAAGCUCCUUCUGGGAUGUUCAUUUAGCAAGCAAUGCCUUACUCCGCUUAAAUGGAACUUAGCAGAUAGAAGGGACAGCCAUAUGUCAACUGGUCCACUGUACUUGCGCAAUAUGUUAGUGCUAACCUGAAAAUGAUUAAUCACAGCCUCCAGUCAAAAACUUAAACCGUAAAAUUGUGAUAUAUAGGCAAAGAUUCCAAACAUAGUCAUAGAAAUGCAAAACCAAUGAACAUUUGAAUUCUUCAAGCUAUGAGAUGAGCUUAUAAGUUAUAAGGGACGACAUGGUCAGUAAAAUUUGUAUAGUCAACUCCAACAUGCUUGGAAGUGAGACAUCGACGUAGUUGUUUUAUGAUAUUCCCAAGAAACUAAAAUAAAAAUCUACAAGUAGAGCCAAAGGUAAUGAGACAAGGGAAGAACUCACAAGCUCCCAGGCUUCAACUUCUUUAUGUGAAGUAUCUUGCAAUAGUUUUCUGCAAAUGAAAAAACUAUUUUAUCAAGAUGUGCUACAAAGUAUGGAAGUAGAAAGGUAUUUGUAUUGUUAAAGUAGUAAUUUUAUCAACAGCAUGGGCAGUUGAAAGACAUAAAAUAGUGGUGUGCCUUCAAUGUUAAACAAAGUAGAUAUUGCAAGGAAAUUUAAUUAAAAAUAAAGCUACUAAUUCUAAGCCUUACAUGUUUCACUACCAAAGAUUUUAGAAGACUAGUGGAAGAAUAUGCUACAACAACAAUUACACCUCAAUCCCAAAACCAAGUUGGAAUCGGUUACAUGAAUCCUCACUAACCGUGUCACUCUAAGCAAGAAGUAAAAAAAGAAAAAGAAGUACUAGAAUUCUUUACAGUUUCUACUUUCUACUGGUAUAUAAAUCUCUGAUAUGACUAACAGACUCCAAAAGUCAUAGGACCUAAAGUAAACACACAAACAUGGCUAUAAUAACGGGAGAAUUAUGGUUAAGUUAGUUUGUUAAGUCAUGAAGAAGAUUUAGUUUGAAGGCUUACAUCUACAAAGGAGUGUCCAACUCAUCAACGUUUCCUUGUCAUACAACUUACACAACAUGUUAUCGGCAUGUCAAUCAAUUACAAACUCAACAAAGAAAAGUAAAGAAUCCCUCAUAAUGAUGCCUGUUCAAAAAACUUAAUCAAGUAUAAGAGAGAUAUCAAACUAGAAAGAAAUAGGAUCAUUAUGAUUUCUGAAACUUUGCCAGUAUUAAAUAUCACUGUCUAUACUAAACAAAUCUGUUUAUAACAUCUGCAAGAGCACAUCCAAUUACAACCAGAAUAUAUGGUGACUAAUUUCAUUUGCAAAGUACUACUAAUGGCUACCAGAAUAUGACAAAUAACCUACCGUACACCUUGAUGAACAUCUUGAUGGUUACAGUGACCUGAGACUCCAUAAUUAUCAAAAGUUAUGACCUGGAGAACAAAUGUCCAUGAGAUGAAAAGGUGACAUAAUAAGAUUUUCCUCUGCUCACAAAUAAUCUAAGGCAACAUUUUGGAUAAAAACACAAAGGAAAAACAGAAAUUACAAAAUGAAAAAGUGACUGCAAAUUUAUUUGUGAAAAGAAGAAUCAUAUGAAUUAUUGAGAUUGUAAUAUUCAGUGUUAAAAUAAAAUACUACACUUAUUACAGUAUUUGAAAGUCUUGAGUAUUUUCUAAACGCAAAAUUUAUUGUCUACAACAUGAACUAUGAAAUAGGCAACCGCUGCCUCAUUCCCUAAAUUUGGAACAAAAUGAGGUUACCCCCAUCUUUCUUUAUGAAAGUUCCGGCUUUCCUAUAUAAUACCGAACAUUAAAGCUGCAUAAAUACAACGGUCUAUCACAUUAAAAUUUUGCACUUGUUUCAAAGGUCCAUGAUAUAUUUGGUAGACACCAGGUAAGAUAUAUGUAAACCAUUCUAUUGGGUUCUCUGCUUAAAUUCCAGAUUGGUAGGCCUCAAUGAAGACAUAAUAAUGGAUUCUUCCGUAUAAAUUCCAAUUAAGCAGGGGGUAAAUCAAAUCAAAUUCAGAAUAAUGAAAAGUAUAUUCUUCAUGGACAGCUAGGAACUUAUCAUACGCAGGAAGGGUGCAACUGAUUCAGACUGUUAUAAUUGGAAUUCAAGCAUAUUGGGCACAAAUAUUCAUGCUACCAUCCAAAAUGUUGAAACUAAUUGAAGCACAUUGCAGAAGCUACCUAUGGUCUGGAAGCAAUACCAUCACACGGAAAGCCUAAGUAGCUUGGGAAAAGGCAUGCACUCCAACGUGUGUGGGCGGUAUAAAUAUCACUAAUUUGCUCCUUUGGAAUAAGGCUGCAAUCACAAAGAACUACUGGGAUUUGGAGCAUAAGGAAGACAGGAUGUGGAUUAGGUGGGUACACACCUAUUACAUAAUAGGACAACUUCUGAGCAAUCUCCAAGUGCCAAAGCAAGCGUGUUGGAUGAUUAGGAAAAUAUUUGAAGCAAGGGCCUUUGCAAUGCAGUCACACUCACUUGAUUCUAAGAGGAGCGUCAUACAAAAGGUAUACAAUCAGCUAAUUGAUGAUAAACCUACGGUUCCAUGGAAAUGCUUAAUAUUUAUGAAUCCAGCUAGACCAAAGGCUAGAUUUACUACCUGGCUACAGAUACAUGGGAAGCUACUGAGCACAGAUAGGUUACUAAAAUGAGGAAUGGUGAUCGACAGUUCGACACCAAGUGCAGCAUGUGCCAAACACAAGAUGAAUCCAGAGAGAACCUAUUUGUACAAUGUCCUUUCUCCAAAGCUCUAUGGGAUAGAGUACUACAGUGGAUGCAGAGACCAAUGUAUGAUCCUACCACCUGGGAACAACACUUCAGUGGAUCAUUAGAAUAACAAAGGGCAAGACAAAGCAGGCUCAACUCUAUAAAAUGGUAUACUCUGAAAUUACUCAUGCAUUGGGGAAUGAGAGAAACAUGAGAAUAUUUGAAAAACGAAGUCGUGCAAGGGAAACAAUAGCUAAGGAGAUUGUAUAUAUGUUAUUUGUGUUAGAGCUCCCCCUAGAAUACAAUAUGAAGUCCAUGGCUACAUUUUUUAGAUUCUGUUGUUCUAAUUAGCUCAUAGUUUAAGUGGCAAGUUGAAAUAGUUUUGCUAAGUUGUAGCAAGCUAUAGCAAUGCAAUUCAAUACUUUGGUGAUUAAUAAAAGUCAGUUAGUUAGCCCAAAAAAAAAAAAACUAAAAUGAACAAAUAAACAAACUACAGAUCAAGAUUUUAAUCUAGCAAAGUAGAAAAGCCGCUUAUACGAUGAAAUCAACAGGAGGAAACUUGAAUAAGCGAUCAAAGAAGCAGAAGCUACUGAAGAUUAUCUGAAAGACCAUCUUAGUUGAACAAGAUAAUUAACUGAAAUCACUUACCAAAUCAAUUGCACAAUUGACAAUUUCCUCCUUGAUAAUCUUUGACAAUAACUUAGAGUUCCAUGAUUUGCCAAAACCAUCCUAGUCAGAACUACGCAUUAGAACUCUGCUUAAACAUUUAGAACAUAUAGAUAUACCAUUCUGAUACAGCCAGCAUACCUGUAGAUCUGGAUGAUCAAGGACUUUCACUUGCUUUUGUGGAACCUACAUGAGUAAAUUAAUAGAGAACAGAAAGAUCAAUGACUCAUAUCUGACUAGCUUCUCCAACAUUUUACAAAAAAAUCAGUUAUAGCAAUUCGCAGAAAUAAAGGAAUCCGUUAUUGUUUUACAUGAAAGCCAACGUAAAAGAUCACAGAUCUAGCAUUAAUCUUCACAUCACCUUAAGCACAAUCGAGGCUAAAUAAAGUUCUUCUUUUCUGACACUGCCCAUACCAUCUGCAUUACCUAUAUUUCAGUACAAUGCAACAAAGCAGAAAAAAUAUACUGAAAGUUAGAAUCAGUGAUAGACUAUUGGUUAUCUAGGAUAAGGAUUUGCUAAAGAACAGUUCAAGUGAUUUGCGUUCUGAUCAUUUAAACAUUCUACACUUAAAAAGAACUGCAAUAGUUCAAAUUUAGAAAGCGAAUCUCAGGCUUAACAACACUGCUUGAAUUGGAUCAUACUUCUAAGAAAAAUCAAUUGCUUUAGUAUUUCAACCAGUUCAAAAAUCAACUUUUCAUUUGAAAUUUAUUUUUUGUGUCUUGAGAAAUAUAUCUGGCAACCAAAAUACACAUGCCACCCAAAAAUUAGGCAUAAACAAUUUUUUUAUAUUCAGCAUCUGCAACAAAAAUUGAAACAUUCUACAAGUCUUACCUGUUGACAUGCAUAAUAUGUGUAAAUUACAUCCUCUCGAAGACAAAUAAUUAAGGGUUGGAGUAAAGAACCUACAGUAUAGAGUAAAAAGCACCAUAAGUCAUUAUCUCACAAUAGUAAUGCUUUCAGCAAAUAGAUAUAAUAAUGAUUACUUAAUAACAAGAUUACCCAAACAUUGAAAGGUCAUUGUAGCAUAUGUGGGAACUGACAUCGAGAGUUAUGAUCCUUGUUACCAACUACUUUUAAACACAAUUUGCAAAGAAAAAUAUCCAGGAAAGGAUGCUUCUCUUAGAACAAGCGUUAAGGAAAUCUGAUAAAAUUUAGAAAAAGAAAGUUAUAGCAUUUUAUUAGGUCAUAGAUUUUCAAGUAUCAUAUGUAUCAGGACAUCGUAUGCUUAACAAAACAAAACAAAAGGAUUGAAAUCAUAAUUUAUAUGAAGACAAUUCAUAAUUCAGUUCUUUAAUAAUUUAUUUAACAAAGGGGUCAUAAUUGAAUCUUAUAGUUUAGCCCACCAAAUUUCUAGUCCACCGUGUUUCAAGAUGGACAUACAAAUCCAUGGACUUCAUUCUUCUGUGAAUGUGUUCAACUAUGAGCUCGACUGAUAAAAUUUGUUUCGAUUGAGCAACUUUAUGUUAGUGUAUAACUAACGACACAUAGGGCUCUCAUAAUCUUGAUCAAAACUAACGUAUAGUUGAUGAGUCCACAAAUUGGACUCAUAUAGGGCUAUAUUUUGAUAGAAUUAGUAUCCUCAAAUGCAAUUUUAUCUCAAUAUCUGAUGAAAACCCUUAAGUUUCAGGUAUUUGGAGUUUGAGGGAAAGCAUGGACACUACUUAGCAAAAAAGGAACUAAAGGCAGCUGAAAGAAUGAACAAAUGAAGAUCUGAGUAUCGCCGAACCCAUUCGGCGAGUCGCCAAAAGGUCUUAUCCUCGCCUUUUGUUCCAGUGUGCUAAGCCCGGAAGGAAAGGAUCAAAUCGGCGGUGAAAAAAAGCAGUCGGCGUAUCGCCGUGCAGUUCCGCGAAGCAGUACUAUGUCGCCCAAUGAUCCAAAACACGACGAUGCUGAAGGAUAGAGCAAGACGGCGAUGAAACCUACCAAAGGGAGGAUCGCCGAGUUGAUCGGCGAUCUCGACUAACGAUGCCGAAUGAUCCGCUGCAGCACAGAUUUUUGAAAACUAUAAAUACUCGUUAAGAGUUGUAGCUUAAAAUGAGAUUUUUAAUAUAUAAUUUUUAACAUAGAUUUUUGAGUUCUAAGUUUGGAGAGGGUUUUGAAGAACUUGAAGAUUCAAAGGGUUUCAACUCCAACAAUUUUGGUUUGGGUCUCUUGGAUUCUUCACUCUUGACUUGUUUUGAGACUAAAAUCUUCAUACCCAUUUGAAUGCAAACUCAUUUUGGUAUAAAUUUCUCUCUUUUACAUGUCUAGCUAAAACCCCAAUUCUUGGGGUGUGAUUAUGUGAAUAUGGGUUAGAUUAAUUGUUGGGUGUUGCUUGCUGAUAGUUUAUUUGUUGUUUAGAUGUGAUUUCGUUUAGUAGUUGUGUUGGAACUUAAUGAAAUUGUAGUUGCAAAUACGAUUACACCUUUGUGUUUUCGGCUUGCUCGAGAGAGAGGUCGUAAAAGUAAGACUACUAAAUUGAUGGCCGAUGGGAGUGGGUCGACAUGAGGUUCAGCUCGAGAGAGUGAACCCUAGUCCUUCUCCCACACACUCAGCUCGAGAGAGUGAGUGGGCUAAGGCGGAGGCUGUUCUUCGGCAAGUGGGUGUCCGGGAGGAACCCAUUUGAUUCGGGGUAAGUUGUUCAAGAGAAAGCUUACCCCCACUAUAGUCUAGCCUAGUCACAAAUAUUCAACGAAAUUACUAUCAAAAGCAUGUACCCAACGAUCUAGUCUAACCCGUAUUCCUAUCACAUCCCAAGAAUCCCCUCUCCUUGCUUAGUACUCUUUGCAUUUUUGUUGUUUUUGCUUACUUGUCACAAACCCUCAUUGAUAAUUGACGCUUGCAUCACCCCUUAGAUUUAACAUGUUUAUAUUCGAUAAUGUUUUUAGCUAUGACUAAUUAGAACUUAAUUUUAUUUUUCUAUUAAUUCUCAAGCCCACUCCCUUGGGACUCGACCCCAACCCUUGGUUGUGUUACUAUACUAUUGUACGAUCGUAAACACUUGCAUUGGAAGUUGUGUCUUGAUUACGCAAACAUCAAUAGUUCCAAGUGUCUUAGACUGCAACUCCCUCUAUAGCAGUUCAAAAGUUUGCAUUGCUCAGAAAAUUAAUGAUAUGAACAAAUAACAACUCAAAGUUAACAUGUUCAACCUUACAUAGACUCAUCAUCAGGAUGGGCAAUAACCAAUAAGACAUUUCUCUUGCGAAAAACUCCACCUGAAACAUAAAAAAAAUAUACAUAUUAAGAAGGGAAGCAAUUAGCUGUGGAACAAACACUAUAGGAAAGUUGUAUGUAUGCAUGUAUUUAGAUUCUAAGAGAAUAAUUCAUAACAACACCAAGGCAGUCAGUAAAUACAAAAGAAAACGAGAAUUGACAUUUUGUUGAGAAGUCACCCAUACCAUCAUUUAAAACUGCAGCUUGUGAGGCAGAGAGAGAUUCGUGGAGAAUUUUAAAGAGUGAAGCCACCCACAGCACAACCAAUGUAAUGAUGAUUACUAGCCACUCCAUUUAAUUUUUUUGCCAGCAGAACUACAGAUAGCACAGAGUUGUAUCUGCAUGAAAAUCUAAAUGAGUUGUAUUACUAAAACCCAUUAUAGGCAAGUGAAGCCAGUAGUAGAGAUCAAACAUCAAUAAUUCAAGGAGAUCAUGGAGACUACCAACAAUAAACCUUACAAUAAUCAGUAUCUCUACAUUCAAUCAUUUUUUGUCAAUACUUGUCAAAAGAGAGUAGAAUAGAAUGGUUUUUUGGGGAUGUGAUCUUAAUAGAGGAAUAUCACCUCUUCUAUGAAAAAACAUUAAAAGAAAUAACAGUUAAUAAGGGAAUUAUAUCCUUUAAUUUUAAUCAUUAGCCAUAACUAUUACAUUUCGAAAGAUAAAAGGAACACUUACCAAUUUUCUUCUAUAGAACAAGGAUGUUGGAUCUAGUACACAGAAAUUGGAACUGGUUCAAUCUUAUUGUGCAGUUUACAAACCCUGCAAAAAUAUUAAGCCUAUUUACAUCAAUAUGUUACGGAUUCAAAGACACCUUUUUUCUAAAAGAGGAAAAAAGAAAAGGAAAAAAAUAAUUGGAAAAGCUAACAUAAACUCAUUCAUAUAGUGACAUAAUGUACAAACAACCAGAUAAACUAGCUCUUCAAAAAGAAAAUUUUCAAUAUAAGUUCUUGUAAGACUAAUUGAACCUUGUUAGUCGUUUUAACUUGCAGACUAAUUGAAUUAACACUUCAUGUUGUGCAUCUUGAUUCAGAUUUGCAUCUAUGUUUGUUCCACUUUCUUUUCGCCACACAUAAUUUGCUCUUUUCAAGUGUUCAGUUUUGACUUGCAUAAUUGAGUUUGAUUUAUUUUAACUCCGGCAAAUGCUAAAAGAUGUUUGGGUUUUGUCUUCUUGUGUAUUAACCUUGUUUAUUACAAUAUGCAUUGGAACUGUUCAGAAAUACCGUGCGAGUUUGAGGAGUUUGUAGUUAAAUUUUGGUACAUGAAUGUAUUGCUGUAAAAAUCUGUAUUUAUUUUCUUUGGUUUUGCUUUUCUUGUUCCUUUUUCUGUGCAGGAGUUUAGUCUGGUCAAACAGACCAGGAUUUGAAGACACGAGACAUAAACUCUACUCAAGGGCGGAGCUAGGUAGGAGCAAGGAGUGUCAUCCAAACCCCUUCCAACAGAAAAUUACAUUGUAGAUACAAGGUAAAAAAUAUAUUUUUAAUGUAUAUAUAUUAGAUGUUGAAUCCCUUGGCUUUCAUAUUUUUGAACCUCUUAAUGAAAUUUUGGUUCUACCCAGAGUCUACUAAUAGUUUAAGGUAAUUAGGUCGAUUUUGGAUAACUUUUGUUCUAUUAAUUCAAUUUCUGGUUUGUUGAUAGACUAACCUAUAACUAAAUUACUUCAAUUUCUGGUUUGUUGAUAGACUAACCUAUAACUAAAUUACUUCAAUUUCUGGUUUGUUGAUAGACUAACCUAUAACUAAAUUACUUCAAUUUCUGGUUUGUUGAUAGACUAACCUAUAACUAAAUUGAAACGAAUCCAUCUUUUUCAAUGCAAAUUCCCUUAUUAUAACAUUAUUAUCCCUGCAGGGUUUACUAAGGUUUGAAAAUCUUCAUGUAUUUAAUAAUCUCAAUAUACCACAAUACAGCAGCAGCAGCAGCAUUUGAAAAGGACACAGCAUAAACCAAAUCAGAAAAUAUACGUAAGAUGGAUUCCAAAGUGUAGAUUAUUAGGCUUUAUUAAUGCGUUUGAGAAGAAUGACAAGUGUGUAUUUAACUGUAAAGAUGACGAAAUAGGAGUGAUUAGCUUACCUGAACAAACAUGGAUCGGCCAUGGAGAGAUGGAAUUUUGGAGAAGAAGACGGGAAUAUCAAAGAGAAAAGAGUUUGUUUUUUUUAUCAUAUUUUAACAAAUUAUGACAAAAUUAUUAUUUUCAUUCAAUACUAAUUUUAUUAUUAAAUAACUUUAUAAAUAAUAAUAGUAAAAUUUAAAAUUUCAAAAUAUAAUUUGCUCGGUACAGAGCAACAUUAUUGAGAAGAGGGUAUUUUUGUCAUGUUGGACUGCCAUGUCUGUAAAGAUAACGUUUUAAGGAUAUUUGUGGUCCAAAACAUAGACGGCAAGGAUAGUUUUGAUCCUAAACAUAAUUAAAGGGAAUAUAUGAGUUAUUUCGAAUAGUUCGAGGAUAAUUUUGAUCCUUUUCCGAAUAAAAAAUGGAAAAUGAUUAUCGUAUGUUUGACCAAUUUUCUAGGGACCCAAUUGCUUAUUUUGAGAAAUAUGUUUUUGAAUAUAGCUUUCCAAAGCAGCGAUUUUAGAAAGAACUACUAUAUGUUCCAACAAAUUCAUUUAUGAAGUGUGUAUAAGAAUUUUAAAAUAUUUUAUCUGACCAAUAUUUCAAAAAUGUCAAAUUACAAAUAUGAUAUUUAUUAUAGAAUUACAUUUAUUCAGAUAAAUAAAUGAUUUUAAAUAUUUUAAAAGAGUUUAGGUAAGAGUUCAUUAAUUUAAUUUAAAUCCAAACAUACAACAAAAUACAUUAAAUUUUAAUCAAUAUAGUUAAACAAAAAGGAGGGGUAAACUGUUGUGUAUUUAUAUUUAAGAGAUAUAAGUAUUAAAUAAAUGAUAAAUAAUUUUUCAUAAAUAUAAGUGUCUGAAACCCAACUUAAAACUAGAGAGACUAAACCAACAUGAGUUUGUAGCGAUCGGACUACUUCAUCCUUAACUAGAGAUUUCAAAUUCGAGUCCUAAGUAAAGAUAAAAACCAGUUGGAAGUCCCACCCCCAAUGGGCAAUCCGAAUUUAGUCGGACCUCCGAAGGGAAAAAAAACAGAGAGGCUGUUAAGCUUUAAAAUAGGUAAAUAAAGAGAUUUCUUGUAGCAUAAUCUCUUUCAUUUCUGACUCAUAUAUGCACAAAAAGCCUCGCCAUAAAAUAGAACUGGAAAAGAACUCAAAACUAGAGGAAAAAGGUAAUCUUUAACCCUUUCCUAAAAUGCAUAAAAAAAUGUUAAAAGACUGGCCAAGCAAAUUAUAUGAGAGGAUAAUAUAUCCAUUGAUUACAUCUAAAUUGAAAGCCAAGGCCAUUUACCUACAACAGAUCAUCAUCAUCAUCAUCCCCACUACUAAAGGAUUCAACAAGCUCACUGUCAUCUUCAUCUUCACCAUCUGUCACAAUCUCCAAUAUACCUCCACCACCAAAGUCCACACCAUCUACAAUAAAGUCUCCGUCUUCAUCUUCUUCGUCAUCAAGCUCACUCACACUAUCAUCAUCAUUGCUCAAAUCAUCUGCAUCGCUUUCACCGUCCCCAUCAAGAUCCGUUCCAAGGAUCGCUUCAUCGUCAAUGUCAUCAUCAUCGUCUUCAUCCUCAUCUUCACUUUCAGCAUCAUCAGGGUCUGAAUCAUCCUCAGUUGGCCUCCUCCGACCAAUUUCAUACACCCUAGCAGAAGAGUACAUCUCAUCUUGGUCAUCCAUUGUGACCAGCCCAACAAAUGAAUCAGUUGGCUCCGUCGCAAAGUCAAGUACACAACGGUCUACUGGAAUGGUUGCAAUGUCAGAGUAGUUAACAGCAUCCACCGUACGGAAAGCAGCAAAGAGAGGAUGUUUAACACGACGUGUCUGGAAUGCGGACAUGACAUCCUCAAGAUUUCUUCUCAAGAUGGCAUAUAUCACAUCACCACUUGCAUUAAAUGUUAUUACAGUCUGGUCCAAAGACGGUACACUUCGCAGAAGCCUGAAGUUCCGCAAAUCCCAUACCUCAGAAUUUAUGAUGACCU